GAUGAACGCUGGCGGCGUGCCUAAUACAUGCAAGUCGAGCGAACAGACGAGGAGCUUGCUCCUCUGACGUUAGCGGCGGACGGGUGAGUAACACGUGGAUAACCUACCUAUAAGACUGGGAUAACUUCGGGAAACCGGAGCUAAUACCGGAUAAUAUAUUGAACCGCAUGGUUCAAUAGUGAAAGACGGUUUUGCUGUCACUUAUAGAUGGAUCCGCGCCGCAUUAGCUAGUUGGUAAGGUAACGGCUUACCAAGGCAACGGUGCGUAGCCGACCUGAGAGGGGGAUCGGCCACACGGGAAGUGAGACCCGGUCCAGACUCCGACGGGAGGCAGCAGUAGGGAAUCUUCCGCAAAGGGCGAAAGCCUGACGGAGCAGCGCCGCGUGGGUGAUGAAGGUCUUCGGAUCGUAAAACUCUGUUAUUGGGGAAGAACAAAUGUGUAAGUAACUAUGCACGUCUGAAGGUAACCUAAUAAGAAGGCCACGGCUAACUACUG
rnacentral:rRNA from 1 species